rnacentral:rRNA from 1 species
AGUGAACGCUGGCGGUAGGCCUAACACAUGCAAGUCGAACGGCAGCACAGUAAGAGCUUGCUCUUACGGGUGGCGAGUGGCGGACGGGUGAGGAAUACAUCGGAAUCUACUUUUUCGUGGGGGAUAACGUAGGGAAACUUACGCUAAUACCGCAUACGACCUACGGGUGAAAGCAGGGGAUCUUCGGACCUUGCGCGAUUGAAUGAGCCGAUGUCGGAUUAGCUAGUUGGCGGGGUAAAGGCCCACCAAGGCGACGAUCCGUAGCUGGUCUGAGAGGAUGAUCAGCCACACUGGAACUGGGACACGGUCCAGACUCCUACGGGAGGCAGCAGUGGGGAAUAUUGGACAAUGGGCGCAAGCCUGAUCCAGCCAUACCGAGUGGGUGAAGAAGGCCUUCGGGUUGUAAAGCCCUUUUGUUGGGAAAGAAAAGCAGCAGGUUAAUACCCCGCUGUUCUGACGGUACCCAAAGAAUAAGCACCGGCUAACUUCGUG